AGAUGCAGCAGCUGACACCGCCGGUGCCAGAGGGAGCGGUCGGGUUUCAUGUCGGUUCUCAGAGGGACGGGAAGCGAGGAUGCCUCCAUUCAAGCAGUACAAAGACAUUAAAACGCCCGCCUUACAUCCGCCGCAAAACUAA